AGUUUGCACUUAUCGGGAAGGGUGAGAACCUUCGAUUAAGGUUCGGGUCGAGCGAAAGCGAGACAACGUUGCCAGAGGCAACGGCCCGAAGGGUGAGGAGCGGAGCGACAAAUAAUCCUUCCCCCACCACCA
rnacentral:sRNA from 1 species